rnacentral:lncRNA from 1 species
GGGAUUUGUGGCAAGUGGACCUGGAUCCACGAGACCCGGAACGCUCCCACAGCCUCCUCCUCCAGGACAGCUGUCAGAUGGCGGCAGUUUGAUUGGAAACAGAACAGCCAGCACUUUCAGAAGUGCUAGCUGGUGGUUAUUUUGGGGACAUUGGGAUGUAGCUGGGAUUUAGGUGUCCAAAAUAUCUCCUAUGAGACGGAGCCUGGCCUGAAGCUCUGAUCCCAGGAUUUCAGUCUUGCAGAAGGCUCCCAGCAUCCUCAGGCAGAGCCCUCUCUGGGUUGAAGGCUUCCUGCUCCCAGUCUGGAGUCUGUAGAUUAAGGCAUUAAUCACAUCACAGUCUGGCUGUACCUUUCAGCUCAUCCAAAUAAGUGCGGUGUGAUUCUAUUUCACAGACAAAGUCCCCGGGAAUCCAGCCAGUAGGUGAUGAGGGAGCGUGGGGCAAAGGCUGACAACAUCACUUCUGUAACUAGAGUGCAUCCCAGGAACAAGAAAAAAGACCCUUCAGCCCCGGGACCCUGGAGCUCCUGCAAGCUCUCAUCUCCUUACCCAGCAGUGUCUGCAUGCUGGAGGGAAGCAGUGCUCUUUCCAAUCCAAGUCUCCACCUGUGGCCUGGGUGGUUGGAGGCAGCAACCCAACCUCUCUGAACCUCAUCGGGCGUGAGGAGGAUGAACUGGGGAGGCUGCAAAGGCUGGUGCUCACCUCUUCUUCCACCGCCCUGGACCAGAACUCGACCACCCAAAGGCCCUUCCCAACCGGAUUCAUAAACUAUAGGGAAAUAGAAACAUUUCCAAAACCGCUGUCUGGCCCGGCAGCCUGUGGGUGUGUUCUCACCUGAUGCUUUUGACAGCUCGGCCUGGCACACAUGGUUGUCACCACCACUCUGAAGACAAACAAGCGGGGCAUAGGGUGGCGGCCUUUGCCCAUGGUAGGGAUCUGAGCAUGGUUCACACCCAGGGCUCUGACUCACGGCCCCCCAGAGGCAGGUGGGCUGUCUUCUUCUCCUGUACCUGCUGGGACCCCGCCUGUGUGUGUGUGCAGCAUGGGCCUGUUGGAUUAGAUGGAAGAUUUUGAGGGGAUCGCUGAGCUCAGUGUACGUAGCAGGUGCUGAGAGACCUAGAAGAUCAUCGAGAUUCAAAGCUCUGCUCUUCAGCCAUUUUUUAAGACUACUGGCUGCAAAAGAGAAAUGUCCUGAUAGGGAGGGGUGAAUGUUGGUGCGGUCAGUAGAGUAACAACCCCCAAGACAGCCCUGUCCUGAUCCCUAGAACCUGUGAGCAUGUUUGGUUACACGGCUUACAGGGAGUUGAGGUCACAGGUGGAAUCAGGUUACUCAUCAGCUGGCCUUGAGUGUGAGGUUCUCCUGGAUUAUCUGGGUGGGUCCAACAUAAUCACAAGCGUUUUCACAGGAGGGAGGGGUGAGAGAGACUAAACCUGCUGGGUGCUGGUUUUGAAAAUGGAAGGGGCCCCCAGGCAAGGAAGGCCGCAGCCUCCGGAAGCAAGAAAACCUCAUCGGAACCAAUUCUCCCCGAAGCCUUCAGAAGGAAGCAGCUCUGCCCACACCUUGAUUUUGGCCCAGGGAAACUCCUUAGACUUCUGGCCUCCAGAGUGCUAGGAUAAUCACUAGCCCAAAGAUGCACUGCAGAGCCAGAGAUGUUGGGAGAGGCAGUGUGGAGGAGACCACCUGAGCCAGGUGGGGGACGGCAGCCGAGCUGGGGGCAGAGCAGGCAUUGUUCAGGUGAAUGAGGUAGGGCCCUGGGUGCCUUGGCACUGGCUGGGCAUGCAGGGGCCUGUGCACAUCUCCCUGUGGGGUCCCCUCUGCUCUGGUGGUCCUCAAUUUCCUUCAGGCCAUGCUCAGAAGAACCUUCAGUCCGAGCCCCAGGUGCAGGAGGAGAGCAGUGCUCGGAGAUGCUGGGUCCACAGCGGUCCAAGGGGUGUGGGGAGGAUGAGACAAGGCUGUGACUGGGGGCUCCUGCUGGGUGUCGGCCCUCUGUGCUCUCUGUGUGUUCUCAGCCUUGGUGGUCAAGAGCAGAGGUGCAGUUUGGGGAAGGGACAAGAACAGACCCUAAUGCUGUCCACCAGGAGAAGGGACUCCCAGCACAUCAAUAAAAAGUGUGCUGGGGUUGAGAGACCUCUCAGUGUCUUCCCACCACACUUAGGAUGAAGGAAAACACCCUGUCACGGCCCUGAGACCCUGCAGGGUGUAACUGUAGCCCCAUCUCUGGCCUCCAACCCACCCCACUCCAUGUGAUCUGCCCUCAGGCAGCCUUCCCUGUGCUGGUCAUGGUCCCUCCCACCACAGGGCCUUUGCACCUGCUGUGGUUCUGCUGAAUAAUCUUCCCUUUCUCCUUUGUCUGCAACUCCUCCUGGCUCCACCCAAGCACUGCUACCUCAGGCGUGCCUGCUUCUCCCUCCCUGACUUGGCCAAUCCCCGUAUCCUUCCCAGCACCUCUCCCUCCCAGACUUGGCCAAUCCUCAUGUCCUUCCCAGCGCCCCUGCCUCGGUCAUGAUUUGACAUUUGCCCGGUGAUCUGAUUGGCAUCCAUUUCCUCUGCUAGACUGUGGAGUUACCUGAGGACAAGGACCUGGCUUGCUUGUUAGUUUGACCCUUGCAUCUCUGAGCCGAGGGCAGGGACAGCGCGUGGCGCCGCAGAGUGCCCCAAGUGCCGCCUGCCCUGAGUGGUCCAUGCGAAGUGACCCUCAUGUCUUCAGAGCAACCCUGGGCAGGCGCUGUUACUAUCUACAUUCUACAGAAGGGGAAACUGAGGCACAGCGAGGCGAGCCAGUAUGUCUAAGGCCACACAGUGACAUGUCACAACUGGACUUCAAAGUCUGGGCAAGCUGGCUCUGCGUGGCACUUUCCCAUACAGGAGCCUCCAGCCACGCAUAGCUCGUAGAGAUUAAAUGAGUGAAAAUGAAAUGAAAAUAAAAUUCAGUUUCUCAGGUGCAUGAGCCGCCUUUCAGGUGCUUGGUAUCCACGUGUGGCUUGUGUCCGCCAUAUUGGGUAGAUUUGGCUCAUUUCCAUCAUCGCAGGAGGCUUUGCUAGGUGGCAUCACCUCUAGAGUUUGUGUCUACG